UAAAUCAUAGAGGAGCAAAUCCAGAAAACUAGACAACAAGAAUUGUGAAGAUAAAAAAAGUAACGAAAAUAAUUUGCAUUCAAAGUAGAGAUACCAAAAUAAACCCGAGGCUUGAUACUAAUCAAAUGUUAUUGUUUCAAAACAACGUCAUUUUUCAAUUAACAUGUAUCAAAGUCAGAAGCAAAUCAAACCUCACAAUCAAAAGACCAGAAAAAAACGAAUCAUAAUACAAAACAGGAAGAUCAAACAAGAGAAAGAAAAUUAUUAUCGUCCCUGCAACACCAGAGGAAAUAAAAUAUCAAGAAAAGAUAUGCUUUAAAAAGAAAUAUACAAACCAAAACUUGUGGCUCCAUGCCUGAUGAAAGAAGAUCAUUAUUUUGACAAUCCACACUGCAGAAAAACAGGUUCACAAUUCAAUUUGUGUCUUACGAUCAAAAACAAAAAUAAUAAAGAACGGUGGAGAUGUGACUCAUCCUUUCGACGCUGGCUCGUUGUUACUCUCGGCGCUUCCUUAACUCCCCAACAAGUAG
rnacentral:lncRNA from 1 species